CGAACGGAGUGCCUCAGAAAGAGAUUUCGGUCAAUGGACGGGGUUACUUAGUGGCGGACGGGUGAGUAACGCGUGAGGAACCUGCCUUUCAGAGGGGGACAACAGCUGGAAACGGCUGCUAAUACCGCAUAACGUACAGUCAUCGCAUGGUGGCGGUACCAAAGAUUUAUCGCUGAAAGAUGGCCUCGCGUCUGAUUAGCUAGUUGGUAGGGUAACGGCCUACCAAGGCGACGAUCAGUAGCCGGACUGAGAGGUUGGCCGGCCACAUUGGGACUGAGAUACGGCCCAGACUCCUACGGGAGGCAGCAGUGGGGAAUAUUGGGCAAUGGGCGCAAGCCUGACCCAGCAACGCCGCGUGAAGGAAGAAGGCUUUCGGGUUGUAAACUUCUUUUGACAGGGAAGAGCAGAAGACGGUACCUGUCGAAUAAGCCACGGCUAACUACGUGCCAGCAGCCGCGGUAAUACGUAGGUGGCAAGCGUUGUCCGGAUUUACUGGGUGUAAAGGGCGUGCAGCCGGGAGUGCAAGUCAGAUGUGAAAUCCCGCGGCUCAACCGCGGAACUGCAUUUGAAACUGUGCUUCUUGAGUACUGGAGAGGCAGACGGAAUUCCUAGUGUAGCGGUGAA
rnacentral:rRNA from 1 species